UACAGAGGGGGCAAGCGUUGUUCGGAAUUACUGGGCGUAAAGGGCGCGUAGGCGGCCUUCUAAGUCGAACGUGAAAUCCCCGGGCUCAACCCGGGAACUGCGUCCGAUACUGGAAGGCUUGAAUCCGGGAGAGGGAUGUGGAAUUCCAGGUGUAGCGGUGAAAUGCGUAGAUAUUGGGAAGAACACCGGUGGCGAAGGCGACCAUCUGGACCGGAACUGACGCUGAGGCGCGAAAGCCAGGGGAGCGAAUGGG
rnacentral:rRNA from 1 species